CUUUCUUGCCUCCUUUCGGAUUGAUUAUUUUUCUCAUUCUAUUUUCUUCCUUCUCUUAACCUGGAAGUUAAAUAAUCUAUUUCUCUUCUAUUAGCAAAUACCUGACAGUUAAUAAAGUACUCGUGAAUUCAUAUAUAAUUUAUACAUUUUUUUAUUUAGCCUUCAUUUUUGAAAGACGUUUUCUAUGAGUAUAGUAGCCCCCCUAAUCUAUGGUUUCCCUUUCCACAGUUUUAGUUACCCUUGGUCAGCCAUGGUUCAGAAGCAAGCAAUCCUCCUGACAUAUUGUCAGAAAGUCAGUAGUAGCCUAACACUACAUUACAAGCCUACAUCAUUCACCUCAUUCAUCUCAUCUUGUAGGCAUUUUAUCAUCUCACAUCAUCACAAGGAGAAAGGUACAAUCAGGAGGUACCACCAGCACAGGACUACUUGAAUCCAAAUAGUGUGCAGUUUUUCACAUCACCCAGAAAUGGACACCUUGCUGAAACUUUCAGGGAUGGUCAGAGAGCCGAUCUGUGAGUGGGACACCGAUAGAUUGGGCUCUCUAGUGCUCGGCUCAGGACCUAAAAGGGAAGGAAGAGAGAAAUUUGGACACAGACAUACAGACACAGAGAGAAGAUGGCCAUGUGAAGGUGGAGGCAGAGAAUGAAAUAAUGCUUCCACAAGCCAAGGAACACCAAGGAUUCUGGGAACCACCAGAAGCCAGAAGAGACAAGGAAGGAUUCUUCCCUAGAGGCUUUAGAGAGAGAGUAUGGGCCUGCUGACACCCUGGUUUCAGAUUUCUAGCCUCCAGAACUGUGAGAGAAUAAAUUUCUGUUAUUUUAAGCCA